AGAAGAAACGAGAGAAA
rnacentral:sRNA from 1 species